AUAACUUGAAGGCCCUGUCUGAAAAGAAUAGAAAAAAGUGAAGAAGACAAUGACAAGGAAGCAAGGCCUGGGAGGCCCGAAUACCUGGAAAAAAGCCCGACCCAGGAACAAUAUAAUACUGAUAUUUCAAAAGAUUUCAUAGGUCAAGUGGAGGGAAAUCGCUUCAACGAGGGAAGAGGUUAUUAGCUCUGUUGGAUCAUAGGUCCCACCCUGCUUCGAGGUUUAGUUGGGUGCAUUUGGCAGCUGGGGAAAACAAGAA